rnacentral:rRNA from 1 species
ACGUGAUCUGAGUUCAGACCGGAGUAAUCCAGGUCAGUUUCUAUCUAUAAAGGACUUUUUCCAGUACGAAAGGACCGAAAAAGCACGGCCCAUGCCUAAAGCAAGCCGCACCCAUAAUUUAUGAUUUUAAACUCAAUAAACAAUUGACCUCCAACUUUAUCCUAGACAAGAACA